rnacentral:rRNA from 1 species
ACUGGCGAACGGGUGAGUAACGCGUAAACAACUUGCCUCAGAGAUUGGGACAACAUUGGGAAACCAGUGCUAAUACCAAAUAAUGCAGCGGGCUCUUAGGAGCACAGUUGUUAAAGUAGGCUUCGGCUUACACUUUGAGAUAGGUUUGCGUCCGAUUAGUUAGUUGGUAGGGUAAAAGCCUACCAAGACCAAGAUCGGUAGCUGGUCUGAGAGGAUGAUCAGCCACACUGGAAUUGAGAUACGGUCCAGACUCCUACGGGAGGCAGCAGUAAGGAAUUUUGCACAAUGGGCGAAAGCCUGAUGCAGCAACGCCGCGUGAACGAUGAAGUUUUUAGGAAUGUAAAGUUCUGUCGUAUGGGAAGAGAUCUUUCGAAUGUUAAUACCAUUCGUUAAUGACGGUACCAUACAAGAAAGCACCGGCUAACUUCGUGCCAGCAGCCGCGGUAAUACGAGGGGUGCUAGCGUUGUCCGGAUUUACUGGGCGUAAAGGGUACGUAGGCGUUUUAAUAAGUUGAAUGUUAAAUAUCUUAGCUUAACUAAGAAAAUGCAUUCAAAACUGUUAAAAUAGAGAUUGAGAGAGGAACGCAGAAUUCAUGGUGGAGCGGUGACAUGCGUAGAUAUCAUGAGGAAAGUCAAAUGCGAAGGCAGCCUUCUGGCUCAAAACUGACGCUGAGGUACGAAAGCGUGGGGAGCGAACAGGAUUAGAUACCCUGGUAGUCCACGCCGUANACGAUGAGUAUUUGGUGCUGGGGGAUUCGACCCUUUCAGUGCCGUAGCUAACGCGAUAAAUACUCCGCCUGGGGACUAC